rnacentral:rRNA from 1 species
UACGUAGGGUGCGAGCGUUGUCCGGAAUUAUUGGGCGUAAAGAGCUCGUAGGCGGUGUGUCGCGUCGGCCGUGAAAACCUGGGGCUCAACCCCGGGCGUGCGGUGGAUACUGCCGGGCUAGAGGGUGGUAGAGGCGAGUGGAAUUCCCGGUGUAGCGGUGAAAUGCGCAGAUAUCGGGAGGAACACCAGUAGCGAAGGCGGCUCGCUGGGCCAUUCCUGACGCCGAGACGCGAAAGCUAAGGG